rnacentral:misc_RNA from 1 species
AGAGAGCAACAAAACACUAGUAAGCAAAGUACAUUAUUAAGGAUCUUGCAGGUCUAACCCUUGCAGGUCAUGGACUGUGUGGAGAGAAUUGAAAGCCUCACCGUAGAGGACUUUAUAUCAAAAAAGAAGAACAAACCAAGAGUCUUCAAGACACUAAAUGCCGACAAGUACACAACAACAUGCGGCUCUUACUGCGAGUGGGACCGCAACGUGGAACUCGGACCAGUCCAUAACUCUGUACCCGUCCCAAAAGAAGAUGAACACAUCUACAGUUACUACGAUGCUCUUCAGUACACUCUCUACGAGACCAACUACCCAGAAACUGAAGACAGAACACACACCCCAAGAUCUGACCCACCAGAGUCUGGGGCCACCAUCGUAGUGCUCUCCUCCCCCGUCGAAUGUAUGGCCAUCCUGCUGGAAGGCGGUCGCACCUGUCCAGGUGACAUGAUGCUGGUUAUGUCCACCACUUGGUUGACUACUGAGGACAGCGACCGUGGCAAAAACCUCAGGACCAUGUACGUACACAAGGCCAUCACAUUCGACCGAGGCGGAAGGACCUACCUAGAUGUGUUCAGCCCACCAAGAAGAGUAUCUUACUUCAUGGACUUCUUUACACGCGGGAUUACAGAUGGACAGAGGAAUGACGGUGAGGAAUUGGAGAAGGACCUUGACUGCCCAACAUCAAGCUCACUCAACCUCGUCAGAAGAACUGACGACAAGGUUUUGACCAGAAUCCAGAUGGCCGAAGCUGGAGUUGGAUACCCCGACACGCUUGCUUUCUGCUACAGGGUGCCCUACGAGUACGAGGCACCCGAGGGUGCAGCUAUUAAGGUGCACAAGCUGAACCAGAAAGUCGGGGUUGAAAACUUGGUAGUGGACGAAGUCGUCUGCUUCCUUGCCAGGUUAAGUGAUGAAUGUGAAAGGGUUGUUGUUAAGCCAUCUGGAGUGAUGUGGCACGGUAGUCAAGGCGUGACCUUCCAUAACAAGGAGGACACAGAAGGAAUCUCUCGCACAGUCCUGGACCUGCUCUCUCAGAUAGAACCCCAGGACUGUGUCCUGGUGGAGGACUUCCAUGCUCCACCCACUGGGGCUGGCACCGAGGGCCUUUCAUUUAGAUUACGGGUGAACGUUUGCCGAGGCCUCGGUGAUAACCCAGAAGCCACCAGCUACAUUUGUGGAGUUGGACAGAAGAAUAGUCCUAUCAACGGCGACAAUACCAAACCGCAGUCGCUGGAGACCACAAUGAGACAGUGGGGUCUCGAGAACGAGACCGAGAAUCUUAAGAAAACUCUUAAGGAGGGCUCAGAAACCCUACUGCGCAGAAUCAUCGAACACGAGAACAGACUCGAUGAUGAAGAGAAGGGAAAUGUCGGCGCUCAGACCGACGUAAUUGGUAUCGAUUACAUCUUGAGCAAGAGAAAUGGCGUAUAUGCCCCCAUUGGCAUCGAGGUGAACAGCCAUGACUGUACCAUCAACUGUCAGCUGUACGAAUUCAUGAACCCAGACCUCGCCGGCCUUUCCGUCGGUCCACUCAUCCAGACAAUGUGUGAAAGAUCUCAGAGGUACGCCAUGUCCGGCAAAGUCGUCGUCGUCGUUGGAGCCGGAGGAAGCAGCAAGAAAUUCAUUUGGCCAGCCGCCAAGAAAGAAAACAUCCGCGUCGUCCUGGUUGACUGCUUGCCCAACCAUGAAAUUCCCGAUGUGGCCAGGUAUCUGGAGUACGACUUUACCGACCACACCCAGGAUGAGACCCAUGCUAAGAACAUCGUUCAGAUGCUGCUGAAACAUGGAGCUGAACUAGACGGCUGCUGCACCUUUUGGGAGGACUGCGUGCCUCUUGCUGCUCGCAUCUGCGACAUGCUGGACCUUGAUGGCAUCGGCCUAAAAGGAGCCAUGAUCGCCAAGAAGAAGUCAUCCACACAGAACACACUGUGUGACCGUACUGCAGAUAUACCCCACUUCCCCAGAACGUAUCUGUACGCUGAGAGAUGCCACCACAUUGAAAACGAGUGCGAUUUGGAGAAUGCUGAGAAAAGCGUCGAAUUUCCCGCCAUAAUGAAACUGGAAUACGGAUCCAGUGCCGUUGGGGUUAAACUUGUACAUGACAUGGGAGAGGCUAAGGAACAUCUUAGUAGCCUACAAGAAAAACUAACAUGUGAGGAGGACCACCCAGGGAUUGGCCUUGGAUAUGGCAACAGCAUGUUGAUGAUGAAAUAUCUGGAGGGCACCGAACACGACAUUGAUGUCGUUCUAUACAACAGAAAACUAGUGGCCGCUUUUGUCUCUGACAAUGGACCAACUUGAUCGAAAUAAAUGCCCGUAUGGGAGGAUUCUAUCUCAGAGACUGGAUCAAGGAGAUCUACGGUGUUGAUCUGCUCCGCUGUGUCUUCAUGACCGCUUGUGGAAUCAAACCUCUGAUCAACAAACCCAAGCCACGCUACCAGAUGAUGGGAGUCAUGUGCGUGCCAUCCGUUCAUGCGCCAAUCUUCAAGAACUCUCAGACAUACGAUCUCAUCAAAAAUCUACACACCAUGGGCCACAUCCGCUACAAUGCCAUCGAAGACGAAAUCGAAGACGUGGAUUUUGAGACCGAAGAGCCAAUGUGUAACAUUGCAGUCCACGCCGGAAACGUGGCCCAAGCCAAAGAGAAACUCCUCAACUUCUGCACUUUGUUCCAUCUAAGCACAGAAGAGUAUGACGUGAAUCGCUUCUUGGGCAACUUCAAAGAAAACAUGAUCUAGCGAUAGGGUAUGUGCCUUAAUACCAUCUAAAAGGCACAUACACCCAAAAGCCUGAAGCUCGUUUGAUCUAACAACAGAAAUCCGUCAUCAAACAGUGCAGUCCAAUAUUGUAACUUUAUUUUCUUUUGUAUUGUAUUGUAUUUUUCAAUAACAUUGUUAAUGCGUUUAAUAUGUUUUUAUCAAGAGUGUGUAAUUACAAAUGUAAACUUGUUUACCAUCUGACAAGUUUUUUUAUAUUCCAUGGAAAGAAAUCUCGAGAUAAGCCAUUUGACACCUUGGCUAUGAGUAAAAUACAGCUGUUUUUAAAAGCGUUUUGUAACUGCAUUCUGGAAACCAAAAAAAAAAAAAAAAUCAAAUAAAAGUUUUUUAACUGC